rnacentral:rRNA from 1 species
AUUGAACGCUGGCGGCAUGCUUUACACAUGCAAGUCGAACGGUAACAGGCCUUCGGGUGCUGACGAGUGGCGAACGGGUGAGUAAUGCAUCGGAACGUACCCAGAGGUGGGGGAUAACGCAGCGAAAGCUGUGCUAAUACCGCAUGUGAUCUGAGGAUGAAAGCGGGGGACCGAGCAGCAAUGUUUGGCCUCGCGCCUUUGGAGCGGCCGAUGUCGGAUUAGCUAGUUGGUGGGGUAAAGGCCUACCAAGGCGACGAUCCGUAGCUGGUCUGAGAGGACGACCAGACACACUGGGACUGAGACACGGCCCAGACUCCUACGGGAGGCAGCAGUGGGGAAUUUUGGACAAUGGGCGCAAGCCUGAUCCAGCAAUGCCGCGUGCGGGAAGAAGGCCUUCGGGUUGUAAACCGCUUUUGGCAGGAACGAAACGGUGUCCGCUAAUACCGGGCGCUAAUGACGGUACCUGCAGAAUAAGCACCGGCUAACUACGUG